UACUGCUCAGUAACACGUAGCUAAUCUAACUUUAGGUCAAGAAUAAUCUCGGGAAACUGAGUGUAAAUCUUGAUAGGAGAUGAUUUCUGGAAGGAGUUAUCUUUCAAAUUCGAGCCUAAAGAUGAGGCUGCGGCGGAUUAGGUAGUUGGCGGGGUAAUAGCCCACCAAGCCAAUGAUCCGUAAGGGUUCUUAGCGGAAGGGCCCUGAGAUGGAAUCUUAGACACUAUUCCAAGCCCUACGGGGUGCAGCAGUUAGGGAUUUUCUCCAAUGCGCGAAAGCGUGAGAGAGCGAGCCAGAGUGCUUUUCUAUUUUAUAGAAUUGCUUUUGCCAGCUGUAAAAAUGCUGGCGAAUAAGGACUGGGCAAGACCGGUGCCAGCCGCCGCGGUAAUCCCGGCGGUCCAAGUCGUAGCCACAAUUAUUGGGUCUAAAACAUCCGUAGCUUGUUUAAUAAGUCUCUUGUGAAAUCCAACAUCUUAAGUGUUGGGCGUGCAAAAGAUACUGUUAAGCUAGAGACUGGGGGACGCAAGAAGUACAUUCAAGGUAGUGGUAAAAUACGUUGAUCUUGGGUGGACUAACAACAGCGAAGGCAUCUUGCGAUAACAGUUCUGACAGUGAGGGAUGAAGGCUAGGGGCGCAAAAGGGAUUAGAUACCCCUGUAGUCCUAGCAGUAAACACUGCACACUAAACAUCGGGAUCUCCUCGAGAGACUUCGGUGCUGAAGCGAAGGUGAAAAGUGUGCUACCUGGGAAGUAUAGCCGCAAGGUCGAA
rnacentral:rRNA from 1 species